UACGGGGGGGGGCAAGCGUUGUUCGGAAUUACUGGGCGUAAAGGGCUCGUAGGCGGCCAACUAAGUCAGACGUGAAAUCCCUCGGCUUAACCGGGGAACUGCGUCUGAUACUGGAUGGCUUGAGUUCGGGAGAGGGAUGCGGAAUUCCAGGUGUAGCGGUGAAAUGCGUAGAUAUCUGGAGGAACACCGGUGGCGAAGGCGGCAUCCUGGACCGACACUGACGCUGAGGAGCGAAAGCCAGGGGAGCAAACAGG
rnacentral:rRNA from 1 species